ACAUAUAUGCACAUUUAUACGCUUAUGUACUAUAAGAUCCAUUGUUUGCCCCGCGCUGACUUUUCAGAAUUUGUAUUUUAAUGUCGCUGACAGCUUGUCCACGUUCCCGUUCCCGUUCCCCCGCUCCGCCCCGUUGCGAUUGAUUUCCUUAUACGCCGCCUAACUGAUCUGCUUCGAUUCGCCUUGUUUUUUGUUCUUUGUGCUUCUAUCAAAUUCCUUUCGGCCUGCUGCAGGAUGAAGCGGAACGCUUUGGCCACUUGCCAAAACCAUGCGGGGGCAUAGCCCAGGGGAGGAGAUGGUAAUAGCCGACAUUCUUAUCAUUUUGUCAGUUUGUAUUCUGUUAUGCGUCUUGAGUGCAUCGAGUGGAUUAUGUGACGGAUGGGGGGAGUCUCCCCAUUCCCUAUUCCCUCUGCCAAGGUCAUAAUACCCUGUGCCGAAUAGGGCAUACAUUGUAGCUGUCUUAACUUGUUGGCGACUUCAGGUGUUUUAGGUAUCGUUCGUAUCGUACUUGCUUUCACUUCCAUUUGACAUUUGGCUAAUUGGUAUUACAUAUUAUUAUUGUUAUGGCUCGGUGCGAUGCGAUAAGAUCGCCGAUCGCAAUAGCCUGUACGAUUAUAUGACUCUGCCUUACGCCAUAUGCAAUAUAACUGCUAUAUACGACAGCACAUAAUACUUAUCAAUUAUAUAGCAGCCACUUAAAACCCAACAAACUAGUGCAAAUUGAUUGAUGGAAUAAGCCUGAAACUCGAGCGUGGAGAGAGGCCGCAGGGGGGGGGGGACUGUGCUAUGUGCAAUUACACACCUCAUCCCAUAGGUUGUAGAGAGGCAGCAGAACAUUUACAAUGCGAGACAGCACAUUAUUUAACGCACUGCAACUCUAGCUCUAAACAAACUUUUGUUUGUAAAAUCCCCCUCAUUUGCUACGCCAUUGGAAUCGCACGACAGUCAUGGACACAUACAUAUCCCCAACGUAUUGGAGCCAUCUACCUAUAUUGAACUCAGGCGACUUGGCAACACCUUUAUCAGCAAUUUAACGAAAUUGAAAACAAAAAUAAGGUUCGAUAAGGAGGUGGCAGAGAUCUCCACACGAGCGUACGUUUACACUGGACGAGUGUUUGCGGUGAGGAAUUUAGAAAAUAUAGAGCCAGAGCCAGAGCCAGAGCCAGAGCAUACCCUUCAUGGGGAACUUGUUGUGGCUCGUCGUGAUGUGCUGCGAAUUCCUCAAUUAUUCAAUAUUUACACUGACAUGUACUACUGGAUGACGUCAACGCCACCGGCAACGCCAACGCUCAGUUGCAGCCCCACAAUGGCCCGCCCUGGCCAUCAUUUUACAUAUCCAUUACUGGGUCACUCAUUCGAAAGCCCCUUCCCAGCAAUUGUGUGGUAAAUUGCCCAUUCGAGCGGAGUGAAGCAACCCAAGCCGCCAUCUACAUGCAUAUACAUAUAAUGAAUGCAGGCCCCUGCAAAUGCCCUGCAAAUUGUGUGUUAGAUUGUUGACAAUGUCUUGGCAAAUUAUUCCACCCUGUGUGUCGGGGCAGAACCAACAGAAGCGUUGUCAUAUAUCGCUAUUAAGUAAUAGGGUAAAGAUAUAUAUAUAUAGAAACAUUGUAUGCACAUAGAUAAGACUUGAUGGGAAUCCAAAAGAGAACAAGCUUUGCUUUCAUUUCAAGGUUA